UGCCACCCCGAAGCCAACGGCCGUUUCAGAAUUCGCGAGAACCCCAUGUGUACAGUGUAUUGUUAGGAGGCAUCAGAAGCGCCUUUUUUUGGCCGGUUACUUUUUUUUUUUUUUGUUGUUUUUUGCUUUUUGGCCUUCCGGCUCCCUGCUACAGUCAUGAUUUGACAGCGCGGCUGUCUCAGCAGGCCCAUGCGACUCUCCUUGGACAGCCUCCAGGUGGGACAGUGCAUUGCCAUCCCACACAGUCUCACAGAAGGUAUAUUGUAUAUUUACCCAAUCAUAGGCAGAUUGGUAUACCGAGUUAAUCCAGUAUCUGUGUUCGCCGGAGGCCGUUUUGACUUCUGAAAGGAGUCAUUGUCAAUUGGGCGCUAAGAUCAUCAAAUAGGAUCGCCUCACCGAAUUGGCCUGAUGUUGGCGAUAGAAUCGAGUUGUAAUAAUCCACCCGGGAUAUUUUAUUCUCAUAAAGAUAUUCUACUGAGAGACGCGGGAGCAGGGUAGUGGAAAUAUCGUCCGUUGAUAUCAAGAAUAUCCUUCUGGGUUUGGCUAUCGGAAAGAUGCUCAAUAUCACAAUGUGGAUGAAGCAGUGCAUUGUUGGCUCUUGUGUUUUGGCAACGCAACUGGACAUUUGGGCGUUUAGCAAAUGAAAGGAAGAGAGGUAACACAGCAAUUGUGGACGUGCCAUCGUUGACUACCCACAUACAGUGCAUAGUGAAUACAGAGCAAGUUCACAAGGGAUAAAUAGAGAAACUGCGAACUGUAGAACUGCGUGGACAGGUACGAAUGUUUACUCUAUGGAUUUGUAUGUGCUCAGAAAAGCUGGCAAUUGAUAUAUCGCCUCAGUUCAUAUGUAAAUACAGUGCCUGAAGGUCGUCUCGAUGUGACAUUGGGGAGCUGAAAGGGAACAACGGAACACGCGGAGAGUCCCUACCACCACUAGGAAGCAAAAAUAAAAAGAAAAGAUGGAAUUGAAUCUGAAGGGAAAAAAAAUCAGUAAGAAUAGCAGAAAUUUCCAUCCUGAGCAGAAUGUGACUGUUGCGGAGGCGGUGCUUGUUCUGAGGGAGAGAAAAAACAAACAAACGCGCAGAGGGCCAUUUUAGAAAAGUCCUUGUUACAUUGUCCCUAAUGUAAAUGAAACGAAAAGAAAUAUUGUUCAAACUAAUGCACUUGGGUAUAUCAUGAUUAAUAUCUAUUUUUGAAUUGUGCAGGAUAAAUACGGGCUGGUCAUAAUGAAAAUGCAAGAAAUAUGUCUGUCCACGGUGUCAGAAAUCUUGUGACUCUAUGGCUGGCAUCAGCCACCGGCAACGUUAUUACCGCUUUGACGUAAAGCAGACACUUGCUUUCGAAGCUCGAGAAAAAAGUCCUUCCCGUUGACCAUACAGUUUGGUUUUGAACCCCAAGGACCGCUGGCCGCUCGGGAGUUGUUCGCUUCCUUCCCGAUUGGUUUAUAAACGAACGGAGCAUGCGAGUCGACAUUCUGAUAUCCUUGUUUGAGCGCGACUUUCGACUCUGCAGCGUUGAAGGAUCUCACAGGAAUAUGUUGUUCAUGGGGGGGUCCUCCAUGCGGAGGGCCCCAGGAAUUGGUCGAAUUCGCAUUAUUUCCAUAGCCCCGGUGUGGGUGCCGAUCUUGUUGAUGUCCUCCUAUUGACCGGUCGCGAAGGUUUCCGCUUUGGUGUCGCUGCCCGAUUUGGCGAUUCUGGUCAUAACCACGCCCACCGCGCCACCGAUCAUCACCGGCACCGCUCAUUGUGGCACUAGAGCUGGUG
rnacentral:sRNA from 1 species